ACGAACGCUGGCGGCGUGCUUAACACAUGCAAGUCGAAUGGAAAGGCCCUGCUUUUGUGGGGUGCUCGAGUGGCGAACGGGUGAGUAACACGUGAGUAACCUGCCCUUGACUUUGGGAUAACUUCAGGAAACUGGGGCUAAUACCGGAUAGGAGCUCCUGCUGCAUGGUGGGGGUUGGAAAGUUUCGGCGGUUGGGGAUGGACUCGCGGCUUAUCAGCUUGUUGGAGGGGUAGUGGCUUACCAAGGCUUUGACGGGUAGCCGGCCUGAGAGGGUGACCGGCCACAUUGGGACUGAGAUACGGCCCAGACUCCUACGGGAGGCAGCAGUGGGGAAUAUUGCACAAUGGGCGGAAGCCUGAUGCAGCAACGCCGCGUGCGGGAUGACGGCCUUCGGGUUGUAAACCGCUUUCGCCUGUGACGAAGCGUGAGUGACGGUAAUGGGUAAAGAAGCACCGGCUAACUACGUG
rnacentral:rRNA from 1 species